rnacentral:tRNA from 1 species
ACCUGGCUGGCUCAGUAGAGCAUGUGGCUUUUGAUCUCAAGGUUGUGAGUUAGAACCCCACAUUGGGUG